rnacentral:rRNA from 1 species
GACGAACGCUGGCGGCGUGCUUAACACAUGCAAGUCGAACGGAAAGGCCCUGCUUUUGUGGGGUGCUCGAGUGGCGAACGGGUGAGUAACACGUGAGUAACCUGCCCUUGACUUUGGGAUAACUUCAGGAAACUGGGGCUAAUACCGGAUAGGAGCUCCUGCUGCAUGGUGGGGGUUGGAAAGUUUCGGCGGUUGGGGAUGGACUCGCGGCUUAUCAGCUUGUUGGUGGGGUAGUGGCUUACCAAGGCUUUGACGGGUAGCCGGCCUGAGAGGGUGACCGGCCACAUUGGAACUGAGAUACGGCCCAGACUCCUACGGGAGGCAGCAGUGGGGAAUAUUGCACAAUGGGCGGAAGCCUGAUGCAGCAACGCCGCGUGCGGGAUGACGGCCUUCGGGUGGUAAACCGCUUUCGCCUGUGACGAAGCGUGAGUGACGGUAAUGGGUAAAGAAGCACCGGCUAACUACGU